CCGGAUUUCCACUAUUUGACAUAAUGAACUACAUUAAGUUUACAAAAAAAACUAUUGUAAGUCCCACGUCUGCAUAAUAAUAUUCAAAAGAAUUAGGUUUAAGAGUCGUUAGUAAGAGCAAUUUAGUUUAGAGUAAGAAUCCAAAAA